rnacentral:tRNA from 1 species
GCACUGGUGGUUCAGUGGUAGAAUUCUCGCCUUCUGUGCAGGAGACCCUGGUUUGAUUCCCAGCCAAGGCC